UACGGAGGAGGCAAGCGUUAUCCGGAAUUAUUGGGCGUAAAGCGUCCGCAGGUGGCACUUCAAGUCUGUCGUCAAAGACUGGGGCUUAACCCUGGAAAGGCGGUGGAAACUGAAGCGCUAGAGUGCGGUAGGGGUAGAGGGAAUUCCCGGUGUAGCGGUGAAAUGCGUAGAGAUCGGGAAGAACAUCGGUGGCGAAGGCGGCAUCCUGGACCGGUAUUGACGCUGAGGCGCGAAAGCUAGGGGAGCAAACAGG
rnacentral:rRNA from 1 species